rnacentral:rRNA from 1 species
ACUUAAAUUGAAGAGUUUGAUCAUGGCUCAGAUUGAACGCUGGCGGCAGGCCUAACACAUGCAAGUCGAACGGUAACAGGAAGCAGCUUGCUGCUUCGCUGACGAGUGGCGGACGGGUGAGUAAUGUCUGGGAAACUGCCUGAUGGAGGGGGAUAACUACUGGAAACGGUAGCUAAUACCGCAUAACGUCGCAAGACCAAAGAGGGGGACCUUCGGGCCUCUUG